UACGUAGGGUGCAAGCGUUAUCCGGAAUUAUUGGGCGUAAAGAGCUCGUAGGCGGUUUGUCGCGUCUGCUGUGAAAACCCGAGGCUCAACCUCGGGCCUGCAGUGGGUACGGGCAGACUAGAGUGCGGUAGGGAGAUGAUGACUCCUGGUGUAGCGGUGGAAUGCGCAGAUAUCAGGAAGAACACCGAUGGCGAAGGCAGAUCUCUGGGCCGUAACUGACGCUGAGGAGCGAAAGUGUGGGGAGCGAACAGG
rnacentral:rRNA from 1 species